rnacentral:rRNA from 1 species
CCUACGGGCGGCAGCAGUGAGGAAUAUUGGUCAAUGGGCGCGAGCCUGAACCAGCCAAGUCGCGUGAGGGAAGACGGUCCUAUGGAUUGUAAACCUCUUUUGUCGGGGAGCAAAAGACGCCACGCGUGGCGUUCCGAGAGUACCCGACGAACAAGCAUCGGCUAACUCCGUGCCAGCAGCCGCGGUAAUACGGAGGAUGCGAGCGUUAUCCGGAUUUAUUGGGUUUAAAGGGUGCGCAGGCGGAAGAUCAAGUCAGCGGUAAAAUUGAGAGGCUCAACCUCUUCGAGCCGUUGAAACUGGUGUUCUUGAGUGAGUGAGAAGUAUGCGGAAUGCGUGGUGUAGCGGUGAAAUGCAUAGAUAUCACGCAGAACUCCGAUUGCGAAGGCAGCAUACCGGCGCUCAACUGACGCUCAUGCACGAAAGUGUGGGUAUCGAACAGGAUUAGAUACCCGAGUAGUC